ensembl:lncRNA
GUUCAGGUUGGUUUAGGUUAGUUUAGGUUGGUUUAGGUUAGUUUAGGUUAGUUUUGGAUGGUUUAGGUUGGUUUAGGUUAGUUUAGGUUUGUUUUGGAUGAUUUAGGUGGGUUUAGGUUGGUUUAGGUUUGUUUUGGCUGGUUUGGGUUGGUUGAGUUUAGUUUAGGUUUGUUUUGGCUGGUUUGGGUUGGUUUUGGGGACGGUAUUAUGGUUGAAAUCGCCAUGUUUAGGACCAGGCCUCUGAGGACCUGAAUGGAAACCAGAUCCACCGAGUUCACCAGAGACCAGAACGACCAGAAACCUGGAGGCACACUUUGAAACACA